rnacentral:misc_RNA from 1 species
AAGUCGUAACAAGGUCUCCGUAGGUGAACCUGCGGAGGGAUCAUUAACAUAACAUAUACACAUAUAUAUACUAAUCAUAUAUAUUAUGAUGUCAUACUACUGUGAACAUACAAUCAACAAACCAACAACAACAGGGACUUGUAUACUACACAGAGUAGUUCACAUUCCCGACUUUUUAUUCUUUACCCCAUACUAUAUUAUAUAUAAUCUAAUAAUAUAUUGUUACAUAACAAUAUAUAUUUUAUAACCCUCUAUCACUCCUAGCAACGGAUAUCUAGGUUCUC